UACGUAGGGGGCAAGCGUUGUCCGGAAUUAUUGGGCGUAAAGAGCGCGUAGGCGGUCCGGUAAGUCGGUUGUGAAAGUCGGGGGCUCAACCCUCGGAUGCCGAUCGAUACUGUCGGGCUAGAGUCCGGAAGAGGCGAGUGGAAUUCCUGGUGUAGCGGUGAAAUGCGCAGAUAUCAGGAGGAACACCGAUGGCGAAGGCAGGUCUCUGGGCAUUAACUGACGCUGAGGAGCGAAAGCAUGGGGAGCGAACAGG
rnacentral:rRNA from 1 species